UACUUAGAAAAAUUGCUGACCGUAGGGAAAGAAAGUGCUAACAGUUCAGAGAUAAGUGAAGGCGUACUGAAAACUUUGAAAAAUAUAAUAUCUGAAGAAAUCACUAGAAAUUACAAUAUAGAAGGCGUUCAUGGCAAGAAAUCUUUAAAAACCAUGGCAAAUUUUUAUUCUGCACUAUUGGAUUCCAUUCCUAUUAAUGAAAAUUGCAGCGGAUCAGCAGAAACACAGCUUAGAAAAGCAAUCCAAUUGCAGAAAAAGCGGCAUUUUAAAAAGCUUGCAAACACUCGCACCGAAUAAUUAACAUAUGUAUAUGUAAAAGCAUAACGCUUACAAAAGUGAAUUUAUAAAUUUAUUUUAUUUUUAUUAAUUUAUUUUACUUAUUUUUUCCGAUACACAGUGCCGGACAAAACUUUUGGCAUAGAGAAUUUUUCGUAAUAUAUGUAAAGUUUUUCAUUCUAAUUUAUUUUCGAAAAUU